rnacentral:misc_RNA from 1 species
UUUCCGUAGGUGAACCUGCGGAAGGAUCAUUACCAAAACAAAGCGAACUUGGCCUCCGGGUCUUGAGAGCUUCAACCUCUUGUGAACCAAACCUUUAUUUUCGCUUCGGCAGCAGUGGCUUCUGUCAUGUCAGCCUGCCGUUAGCACCAAACCAAAACUUGCAGUAUCUCAUGUCUGAAAUCAAAUUUUUGAAUCAAAUCAAAACUUUCAACAACGGAUCUCUUGGUUCCC